rnacentral:sRNA from 1 species
ACUUUGAGAAGAAGAAGCUUGGUUAAUGUUUUGGAGUCGAAAAUAACUUGAUCUGAUGUGUAUGAUUAAGUAUAAGAACUUAAACCGCAACCGGAGCUUAAAAGCCUAAGUAGUGUUUCCUUGAUAGAAGAUACAAAGGCAUAGACUCAUACGGAGUUUAGCUACACCAUCAAAGCUUUGAGAAGUAAGAAGAAGCUUGGUUACUGUUUAUGAGUCAAAUAUGACUAGAUGUCAUGUGUAUGAGUGAAUAUAACAACUAGAACCGCAAUUGGAUUUUAAAAGCCUAAGUAUUGUAUCCUUGUAAGAAGAUACAAAGACAAACACUCAUACGGACUUCAGCUACACCAUCAAAGCUUUGAGAAGGAAGACAAGCUUGGUUAGUGUUUUGGAGUCGAAUAUGACUUGAUGCGAUGUGUAUGAUUGAGUAUGAGAACUUAAACCGCAACCGGAUCUUAAAAGCCUAAGUAGUGUUUCCAUGUUCGAAGAUACAAAGCCAAAGCCUCAUACGGAAUUUAGUUACACCAUCAAAGCCUUGAGAAUCAAGAAGAAGCUUGGUUAGUGUUUUGGAGUCAAAUAUUAUUAGAUGUCAUGUGUAUGAGUGAGUAUGAUAACUAGAACCAUAAUCGGACCUUAAAAUCCUAAGUAUUGAAUCUUUGUAAGAAGAUACAAAGACAAAGACUCAUACGGACUUCGACUACACUAUCAAUGCUUUGAGAAGCAAGAAGAAGCUUGGUUAAUGUUUUGGAGUCGAAAAUGACUUGAUGUGAUGUGUAUGAUUAAGUAUAGAACUUAAACCGCAACCGAAGCUUAAAAGCCUAAGUAGUGUUUCCUUGAUAGAAGAUACAAAGGCAUAGACUCAUACGGAGUUUAGCUACACCAUCAAAGCUUUGAGAAGUAAGAAGAAGCUUGGUUACUGUUUAUGAGUCAAAUAUGACUAGAUGUCAUGUGUAUGAGUGAAUAUAACAACUAGAACCGCAAUUGGAUUUUAAGAGCCUAAGUAUUGUAUCCUUGUAAGAAGAUACAAAGACAAACACUCAUACGCACUUCGGCUACACCAUCAAAGCUUUGAGAAGGAAGACAAGCUUGGUUAGUGUUUUGGAGUCGAAAAUGACUUGAUGUGAUGUGUAUGAUUGAGUAUAAGAACUUAAACUGCAACCGGAGCUUAAAAGUCUAAGUAGUGUUUCCUUGAUAGAAGAUACAAAGGCAAAGACUCAUACAGAGUUUAGCUACACCAUCAAAGCGUUGAGAAGUAAGAAGAAGCUUGGUUACUGUUUAGGAGUCAAGUAUGACUAGAUGUCAUGUGUAUGAGUGAGUAUAACAACUAUAACCGCA